rnacentral:rRNA from 1 species
CCUACGGGAGGCUGCAGUGAGGAAUAUUGGUCAAUGGGCGCGAGCCUGAACCAGCCAAGUCGCGUGAAGGAAGAAGGCCCUACGGUUUGUAAACUUCUUUUAUAGGGGAAUAAAGUUAUCCACGUGUGCCUCUUUGCAUGUACCCUAUGAAUAAGCAUCGGCUAACUCCGUGCCAGCAGCCGCGGUAAUACGGAGGAUCCGAGCGUUAUCCGGAUUUAUUGGGUUUAAAGGGAGCGUAGAUGGGUUGUUAAGUCAGGUGUGAAAGUUUGGGGCUCAACCGUAAAAUUGCAGUUGAUACUGGAAGACUUGAGUGCGGGGGAGGUAGGCGGAAUUCGUGGUGUAGCGGUGAAAUGCUUAGAUAUCACGAAGAACUCCGAUUGCGAAGGCAGCUUACUAAACUGCAACUGACACUGAUGCUCGAAAGUGUGGGGAUCAAACAGGAUUAGAUACCCUAGUAGUC